rnacentral:lncRNA from 1 species
UGACCCGAAAAUAACCCGUUUGGUUUGGAUUCGGUUAUUAUCUAAAUAAUUGAUGGAUAUUGUUUUCUAGCAGUGGAUAUCGGAUCGAAUCCAGGUAUUAUCCGAGCACGGAAUGGGUAUCCGUUUACCCGGAUUUAGAGUAAACCUAAUCUACUUUUAUCUUUCAUUUGUUUUUAUUUUUGGGCAUUUUGCUUCAUUUUUU